AGCACCUACUCCUAUCAAAAUGAGAAGCAGCAAGCGGAACUUGAACUUGAAGAAGCGAGCCUCUAUCAGAGAAAGCCAUUGCGCGCUAGCCCCUUGUCUUGUAUAGGGUGGAAAACCUGCGCACCCCUAAACUACAAGCUUUCUUUGAAGCCCCUACAACAUGGGAUAUUUGAAGAAUCCCCUUUCUACAAACCUUUCUAUAAUAUAACACCUUUUCAAGUAUUCCGCUCGUUUGCUGUCAGGAAUUCAGUAGAGUGGCCUUGAUAGAAGCAAACCUACUCUUCUUCAUGUGUAAUGCUUUCUUUAAGGAUAUCUUUCUUUUCGUAAGCCCACAAGGN
rnacentral:lncRNA from 1 species